CCUACGGGGGGCAGCAGUGGGGAAUAUUGGACAAUGGGGGGAACCCUGAUCCAGCCAUGCCGCGUGUGUGAAGAAGGCCCUCGGGUUGUAAAGCACUUUCAGUGAGGAAGAACGCCUGGUGGUUAAUACCCAUCAGGAAAGACAUCACUCACAGAAGAAGCACCGGCUAACUCCGUGCCAGCAGCCGCGGUAAUACGGAGGGUGCGAGCGUUAAUCGGAAUUACUGGGGCGUAAAGCGCGCGUAGGUGGCUUGAUAAGCCGGUUGUGAAAGCCCCGGGCUCAACCUGGGAACGGCAUCCGGAACUGUCAAGCUAGAGUGCAGGAGAGGAAGGUAGAAUUCCCGGUGUAGCGGUGAAAUGCGUAGAGAUCGGGAGGAAUACCAGUGGCGAAGGCGGCCUUCUGGACUGACACUGACACUGAGGUGCGAAAGCGUGGGUAGCAAACAGGAUUAGAUACCCGAGUAGUC
rnacentral:rRNA from 1 species